AUAAUGACAGAGUGGAGCCUGGAGUCUGUGGCAAGCAAGGAAUUGAUUAGGGGAAUGCAAGGUUCCUACAAACAGGAGGCAAGAAAGCAGGACAUGGAGCAAGAAGGACGACAUGCCGUGACUCGGAUUCGAACCGAGGUUGCUGCGGCCACAACGCAGAGUACUAACCACUAUACGAUCACGGCGAGCCACGCGCCCGGCGACGUAAGGUACGCGUCCGCAGGGUGCAGGCGCUGUUGGCCGAGCCUCGGUCAAUCCAGUUCCGCCGGGUCCCGCGCGGCCCUCGGCGUCCGCUCCCCGCUGGGCGUCGACGCCCGGACUGAGCUGCCCGCCCCGGCAGAGCGCAGGCCGGCGCCCGGUGCGGACCGCGGAGCGGUCUCUGCUCGCCUCAGAGGCUUCAGCCCGGCCUGUCGUCCCGCAGACGUGACUGGUGCCCGCCGCGUCGGGAGCCCCGCCGAGCGCACGCGCCUGGGCGUCAGCUGGAGCACCCACGGUGAGGUUGAGGUCCGUGCGUGGGUCGUGGCCAUUCUUGCAGGCGCAGGAGGAGCCCCUUAGCUAUUUUCCCCAAGGCCGCGAUAGACCUCCAUCGCCGUCGUCUCCGCGGGGGCCGGGGCACCUCGGGAGGGGGCGAGCUGCUAUGGGGUCAAGCCAGCGGUCCACGGGCGUUCCUAGAAGCAAGCCAGGGGUGUAAAGUUCCUACCUUUUCUACAUCAAAAGAACGCAGCUCAGGGUGGAGCAAGGGUCCUAUGAUAGCGUUUACCUGUGUUACUAAAAUCUGGAGACUUGUACGAUGAUUUUUGUUGUUGUUGUUGUUGUUGUUUUAAAUUAAGAAAGUAUUCCCAGUCUACCCACUCCCAAAUACACCAGGGAUAUCAGGCGGGGGUUGUCCGCAGAUGGGUGUUGUCGCCAAGUUCUUCUCUUUGCAAAGAAAACAAACAACAAAAAGUGAAAAGUGAAAAGUUCUUCCUGGCCGAGGCAUGUGACAAAUAAUCCACCUGUGACCGACCGACAGGCAAGGUUAAAGAAAGCCCUUGCUUGUUUUGAGUUUGCCGCGUGUUUUGGGGGUUUUGACGGCUGUGUUGGGCGUGUGAACUUGCUGGGUUUACGGGAGUGAUGAAAGGAUUAACGGCUUAAUAAGCAAAGCAGGCUGUUAAAAGCCUAGGUGAGGCCUAACUGUCUGUCGUCCCUGGGUGGGCUCGAACCACCAACCUUUCGGUUAACAGCCGAACGCGCUAACCGAUUGCGCCACAGAGACGGUGGUGAGCCUGCCACGCCGGUUCCUUGUUCAGGCAGGCGUCACCGCGGCGGCCACACCUGCGAGGACCGCGGGAUUCGUGGCAAGGUGUAGCCGGCGUCUCCCAGACGCUGGGGUCCCGCCGCCACCGGGUGAUCGGGGGCCCAUGGGAGGCCCACGCUGGCGGGGUCGCGGCCCGAGCGCCCAGCAGGGCUCCGCGUAGAUCCGGGGCACGGUCGCGCGAGGGGCUGGUCACCCGGGGCGUGCGCUAGAGCCUAAAAAAGAGAGAAGAAUGAAAAAGAGAGAAAGAAAAGCAAAAGCCAAUGGACAAAAGAAGAAUUGCUUCCUAGCAGCCGUUUCUGUCUUCAAGUAGGUAGAAGACUAUGGAGGGGUGACUGAUUUAUUAACUUUAAAACUCGUAUGCAGUGUAGUGGUGUGCAGGUCUGUUGCGUGUUAAGCACUGGAACUAAGAAGGAAACGGCUGAGGUUUGAAACCCAAUUUUGAGAGAUACGUUCCUUGGGUGUCCUUUGGUAUUAAGAAAUAAAAACUCCAAGAGGUCAAAUCUUUUUCUUACAACCUAUAAUUACCUAAGGUGUCGUUUUUCCUUUUUUUUUUUUUUUUAGGUGUCAUUUUUGGCAAUUUGUCAAGGGUACUUCUGCAGGCUUUUUAAUAGAGAAAGUACAGGUAGAAGGAAAGGUGAGAGGGAAGUAAGGGUCACCUGGUGGCCUUCAAGAAGUUAAAUUUCUAAAAGGAAAAUGGCCGAAAGUUCUCUCCCGUCCGCAAACGCGAAGACCACAAGGGGGAAAGUAAUCUGCUUUUGGUUACCAGUUAUCAGGGGAGCGCGCGAACGCAGCUCCCCCACUACCACAAAUUAUGCAGUCGAGUUUCCCGCAUUUGGGGAAAUCGCAGGGGUCAGCACACCCCAAAGUGCAAUGGGUGAGCCUCGCCCUGGGAAAACCACCUUCGUGAUCAUGGUAUCUCCCCUGCCAGGUAAGUAUGCUCUCCCAGCGCCCGGCCCCGGCUCACACCCGCCGCCCCUGCACUCUUAACACACGGUCACUUAGCCCCGCCCGAUCUCGGGUCUCCCUCGUCGCACACGCCGUCUCGGCGCUCCGCUGACAUCUGGCGACCCGCGUUCUCUCCCACGCCGCGCGAGAAAUCUCUCGCGUUUCCCCGGCCGCUGCGGACGCCGCAGCCCCUGCGCGACCCUCAUCUGCAUACACCCCGCCCCGUCAGCCACCCAGGAGUGACAUCACGCCCCUUCCUUUCGCCGCCCGAUCCCGGGGCCUGUUGGACUUUCUCACUGGCGCAGUGCUGGAGCGGUGAAGGACCAGGGACAAGUCACCUUGCACCGUCUCUUACCCCUAACUGGCCGCUCGUGGCCCACCCCCAGGUGCCAACAUCCUUGUGGCCGACUCUUUUGGGUAUGGACGAACGGACGCCCGUCUUCUCCAAGUCGGAGCACAGGAGUCGGGCAGCACAGGAGCCAGCCCCACCGCAGGGGUCUCCCUGCGACGCUCCAACCUGCCUGCCUGCCCCUGCCGCGGGUCUCCGCCGCUGUACUUUCAAAGGCUCUUGAUGUAUUUACCUGUCGUUUUCUGCGUUCUCUUCUACAGAAACAUCACGAAACCGACACUGAGUUGGGACAUUGGUGGAUGAGAGGGAGCGAUGGUCGAGGCACACUCUCAGUACCUGGACGUCUAAGGCAUGGGAAGGAAAGACAGAGGGAGAGGACUCAUCAGAGCUCUGCCCACAGCUUCUGAGGAAGAGAGACACGUUCCGGAGCAUUUUGCAGUUAUCUCCUAUCUAGCUACAGGUGGAGGUCUGAGUCCUGAGUACUCUCACUGAAGUUUCUAGAUUUUUUUGUGUUCCAGAAAGCUAGCUGAGACGAGUUUACUGACAAAGGAGGUGCAGAGGAACACAGACUCGAGCCCCUUCACCGUCAUUUACACGGCAUCUGCUUCUUCCUUUUGUGUAUCGUGGGUUUUCCUCACCCAUGGCCUUUUAUUGUAUGUAGCCUGGCCGCGGAAGAGUCUGCAGACUCUUAAAAAAAACAAAACAAAAACAAAAACAAAAAAAACAAUACCUGUGAAAAACAGGAGGUGAGGCCCCCAAGGAGCCCAGAAGGAGCCCCUUUCUAACAACAGCUGGAAGAAGAGGAAGAAGUGGGGGGAAGGGACUAUUUAAGAUGCUUGAAGUUGCUGAGAAACUCACCAGAGACAGUGUGCUUCCUGCUCUGUGAGCCCCUCCCUCUGUGGCUGCAAGUCUCAGGCCCCUUCUUUCUGGAAGCAUUCUCCUUGCCUUAGUCUCAGAAAACAGGCCCAAGUCAGCUGGAGCUAGUAGCUCAUGUCUGCAAUCCUAGCCGUUGAGAGACUGAGGCAGGAGGACCACAGCGACCUCGAUGCUGUACCACAGGACGAUCUGAAGGUAGCCUGGGCUGCGGUCCUGUCAAACAAACAGAAUCGGUGACCUGUGUAGUUCUAGGUGUGGGGACUGUUUUUCUGUGGGUAAGGUAGUCCUCCGGGCUCCAGGACCUGCCUUAUUUGCUCAAGUGGGGAUAGAGAGAGAGUAGUUCCUGCAUCCUCUCCCCACUCGGCACACAGCACAACCCCCACUGUCGCACUAGCUGAGGUGCAGUGUUCACACACUGUGGUCCUAUUCAUCAGGACCAAAAUCAGAUGAAUGGCUCUCGCUCAAAGACAGAGCAAGUGCUCAAUAUGCCCUAGGCCUUAGGAUAGCUGCCCAGUGUGCUUACAAGCACACACACACACACACACACACCACAAAAGCACCUAAUGAAGGACUGAUAGCCAGGCCAACAGCAACAGAUUUAAAAUGCAUGGCAGUGAUGUGGCAGGGAGGGAGGGGGCAGAGGAGAGAGUACAUUCAGUCAUGUGACUCCUCAACAAAAUUUAGGUUGGGGGGAAUGGCAUUGGCCUUUAAGUGCUCCAGAGGUCAGGGAAGAGGCUGAGGCAGAGGUAGGCACAUCUCUGUGAGUUCUGAAUGCAAAGGGGGCACAGUAAAGGAACUGCAACAGGACCCCUCCAUGGUUGGUCAAAAGGCAGGCUUUUAUUGUAGGUAAAAGAGAAAAUACAUCAAGAUAUAUAUGCAGGGACCAAAGUACUGUACGAACCUGAGUGUGGACCACUUCUUUCAAUAUCUAAGCAGAUAUAUAUUUUACUUUAAGUGAAAUAAACUUUAAUAAUUGUUAGUUUAAUAAUGUUAGUGUAAAAUUGUCAGAAGGGUCAUCCUGACUGACACCGCAUAUCCCAAAGCAUCUGAGAUGUGGCAAAUACUGAAACAUAGGAAAUGAGAUGAGGAGCAUUUGUAUUCCGUCUAGAUGCAGAAACAAAAGAUCGCUGGGCAGAAGGACGAUAGUGCCGAGACUCGGAUUCGAACCGAGGUUGCUGCAGCCACAAUGCAGAGUACUAACCACUAUACGAUCUCGGCAAGCCACACGCCCAGCGACAGGGUCAGCGACCAGAAUACUCACCACUAAACUAUCGCGCCCCAUGGUUGCUAACAAUUAUAAAGACCGGCUGGGAGCUGCAGUCCAUUAGCCCCCUGCUCUGAUCUUCUCCUCUGCCCCUCUGCUUCCUGCGGAGCGCCUGUGCGGGGUACUUACAGGCCAGCGGCUUGGCGGUCUAGGGGGCGGAGGCGCCUAUUGGUCUAUGCUGGUUUCCACGCUUCCCGGCCGCCUGUAAGUAGAGAGGGCAGCAGAGGUGGCUAGUGCUGAGCCUGAGAUUUCUCGAGUUAGCUGAAUGAUGAGGGCCGCUGCUGAGAAGGCCGUGGGCCCACCUUACUCUUGUAGAUGUUGUUUUUCCCCAGGGUACGUGAUAGACUAGACCUCCAUCACGGUCCUCACAGCUGAGGCUGGAGCAUCUCCGGAGUGGGUAAACCCCAUGGGGUCUUUUCAAAAAGCUGGGAGCAAAGCAGCGUCCAUAGAAGUAAAACUUCGGAGACCAAAACCAUCAUCACCAGUCCUCGGAUUCCUUACCACACGGCUUUGUUUCUGUGAUUUAUUUUGCUUUUUCCAUAUUCUGUGUACAUUAAUUUGGUUCUGGAAUUUUCUGACUGAGAAUUAUGCUGCUUUACGAAUUUCUUUAGCCAGUGAUGUGUUUCUGAGAGGUAGAAUAGCUACCCUAUAAUAGUGCCUCUGUGUUUUAUUAAUACCCUUUUUGUUUUCUCUUCUUUGGGGACUUAUUGUCUGUAGCUUUUACUAUUUUAGGGUUCAAUUCAAUUUUAUUACUUUAGGGUUUGCGACAUAUGUCUUUGUCCCAUAUAACACUGGGACAGUCAGGUGGAGAAAGCCAUUAACAGAGAGGCAAGUCGAUUUGUGUGGAGUUUGAGUCCAGCCUGGUCUAUAUAGUUAGUUUCAGGUGAUAAUCUUCCGUUUCUGGCGUCUACGCUACUGUUAAGUAUUUUGCUCCUUCCCUUGGUGUGGAUCCCACACUACAGGUUAUUACUUUUGUCUAAAGGUUCAAAUAUUUCUAAAAGGCAUGUCAAUAUCAACAUGUGAUAUCCUCACCAUAUCUGGUAUUCUUCCCAAUGUGCCUGCUGGACUCCCUCUUACAUUUGUGUGUGGGGUGGUAUCCGGUGGUUAGGAUUUUGUUUGGAAGUGGAUUUUCUGCAGCUCUGGCUGUCCUGGAACUCCCUAUGUAAACCAGAUUGGCCUAGAACUCCUAGAGAUCUGCUUCCCAGAUGCAAGAAAUCAAUGAGUGGGCCACUGCUCCUGGCUGGUUAUGAUUCUCAAGGUAUUUAUAGGUCAGGUCUUGAUGUACUCUUGUUUUACUGUUUUGUUGUUGUUGUUGUUGUUGCUGCUGCUGCUUCUGCAUGUAUGUGUUAAAAAAUGCCUUUGCAGUCCAGGCUGCUAGGGUGUGAUGGCUACUCUUAGUUGUCAACUUGAUUACAUCUGGAAUUUGCUAAAACCCAAAUGGCCGGGCACACGUGUGAGAUUUUUUUUUCUUAGUUAAAUCAUUUGAAGUAGGAAGACCCACUUGGAAUCUGGACCUCUGAGGUGGGAAGAUCCACUUUUAAGCCAGAUCUUCUGAGGUGGGAAGUGCAUCUCUAAUCUGGGCCACACCUUCUGCUGGCAAGCUAUUUAAGGGCCAUGGAAGAAGGGUGCUUGCUUUCUCUGCAUGCUUGCUCUCACUCUUGAGAACAAGUCUACUCCUUCACUGGCAUUAAAGACGACUCUUUCAGAUGCUGGCAUCCACUGCAGACCAGCUGAGAUGUGCAGCCGUGUGGACUGAACAACAACUGAUUUCCGGACCUUCUAUUGGUAGACAGACAGCCGGUGUUGGACUAGCAGGACCACAGCCUGUAAAUGAGGGAGGUAGGGAAGGGAACUGCUCGAAGAGGUAAGAAUGAAAACCCGGGGCAGAGUAACUUAAUCUCCUUGGAUCAGACUUCAGGAGUCUAAUACAGGGGGGUUCAUUGUCAGUAGAUUUAAAACACAGCACAAUUUGGGAAGAGGUUUUGAGGCAGCAACCAGUCCUAUCAGUCCGAAUCCAGGUGCACAGUAAAGCUUAAGGUGUGCCCACGCAGAGAUUCCUUUACAACGUACACGUGGCCAUGAGGGUGGGCUUUAUAGCUAAAAGGCCUAGAAUCUAAUGUGUUCUCUGAGCAGUAGCACAGAGGUCGGCAGGCCAGAAAGUGCAUGUCACAUCUCCCCUACAGAUGGGUAAUGGUCUAGGGAGGCCCGAGUCUGGAAUAAUCAUUCUGGGAGUUAGGGUGAGGUCUGUCCCUACAGAUAGCAGAAAAGGUCACCAGGUGGUUAAUAGCCUCUACUCUCAGCUUUCUGGAUGGAAUGCAGAUUUUUAUUUUAUCUCCUCCAUUGAGGACACACCUGUGAAAGAUUAACAUUCCUGCUUCUCUUAGGGAUUCUCUGAGUACAAGAUCCUCAUGCCCUCUCCAUGUAAAACCGUUAUAAUAUAUAUAAAAAUAUAUAUUCUAUAUAUUCAUAUUCAUUCUCUAGGUUGUGUGCUUAAUACAGUGGGGCAUGGCCUUGAACUUUUGACGCUCCUGGUUUAGCCUCCCCUGUGUUGAGAUUACGUGCAUGGGCCAUGAAGCCCAGUUCAGUUAACUUUAAGAGGAUUUGUAUGGCACAGAAUUUGCAGUUAACGUUUAGUUUUCUUGUUUCAUCACUUUAAAGAUUCGGUGUGGCUAUCUCCUGGCUUGCAUGGCUUCUGGUAGAAUCCUGGAACUGCAGAAAAACCUUCACACCAUCCUCCUUUUUGUUCCUGUGUAUAUACACUGUGUUUUUCUUGGGCAACUUUUGAAAUGUUUCUCUUGGCCUAGGAUUUAAUUAAAAUGUGUCUGAGCUAAUUUGA